CCAUGCGUGUGUUUUUGCGCGCACGUGUGUGUCUGUUUGCAUGCACUCUCAGCAGCAGGAGGCUGUAACGUGUACCAUGCACACUCUGUAAUCACCACUGUUUAUGACUGCAUAAAACAACACUCGCUCCCUCUUUCUGUCCCCCUUCCCUCACUUUUACAGACACACAUUUACAGCUGCUGUCUCACUGGCUGUGUGAUUAUCGCCGUCUGGUUCGGGGCUCUUAUCAGUGUUGUGACGGAAGUGCGCACGCACACAACACACCUUCAGCCUGCCUGGCUCUCUCCCUCACUUUUCCUUCUCUUUUUCCUCCUCUUUCUUUCCUCUCGCUCAGCUGUGUCGCGUCCUUUCCCCAGCGGCAUCGUGGUGUUGCGUCUGCGCUUGCCUUGCCGAGCCGUGUGCCAGUUCAGGAUUGGCAUUAAAGCCAGACAUGAGCUCAUCGGCCCAGCUGGGCAGACAGCCCAUUACAAUGCUCAGCAGAGCCCUACCGCAGGGGUGAAAAGAGCUCAAUACCUGCUGAUUAUCUACUCUUCCUCUCUGUCUGUGCCUCUGCGUCCCUCCCUCCCUCACUCACUGGCUUUUGCUUUCACUUUGUUUCUUCUUCUUUCGUUGGCACCUCUCUUUUCCCUCUCUGCUUUUUCUUUUCUCUGUUAUUCCUCGACUUUUUCCUUUCCUUACUUUCUACUCUCUUUUUCUUCUACUAUCCCUUAUUUUUUUAAUCUCCCCUUUAUUCAUUUUUUCUUUUAUAUUCCCACUUUCUUUCAUUUUAUCUUCCCUGUUUUGCCCUCUUCUUUUCUCUCCUCCCCUGUUUUAUCUCAUUUUCUCCUCAUACAUUUUCUUCUUCUAUGCUUUCCUUUUAUCUUGCCUUGUCUAUUCCUCCUGUCUUCUUUUCUUUUAUUCUUUGGUGUCCUUUUUUCACACUCCUUUUGCUCACCUUUUCUUCUUUUUUUUCUUCUCGUCCUCUCUUCAUUCAUCCCUUUACUCGAUCUCAGUAUCCUCCACCUCAGGCUCUGUCUCUCUCUUCGUGAACUGUCUUAUUCUCACACACACACACACACACACACACACACACACACACACACACACACACACACACUCUGCAUCUUUCUGUCUGCGCUGUCAUCCUCCUUUCUCUUCUUCUAG
rnacentral:lncRNA from 1 species